AGAAUAUCAUAUAUUGGUUCUUAGGAAAGUUAUUCGAUGUAUAAUAAGGAAAGAAUAAACUUUGGGCCUCAUUCAAGGUUCUUGGAGAAAUCAUUCAUUAUUUUUUCUUUAUUUUAUAAUAUGUUCGAAUUCUAGUGGAUUGAGUUUCGAGAAAACGAAAUUCUUUGAAGGGGAUAAGAUUAUUACACCCCACUCAUUUUUGGUCAAAGUGACACCCAUUUUUAGUCAAAGUCAAGCAAAGUAAUUGGUCAAAGUCAAAAUCAAUAAGGACUUAAGUUGAACAAAUAAUUUUUAUGGGGCUUAAUUUCUAAUAACAAGUACUUAAGGGCCAAAAGUGUGUGUGUGUAUAUAUAUAUAUAUAUAUAUAUAUAUAUAUAUAUUAGGGAUAUGUUUUCUAUUUAUUGGAAUAAAAGGAGUAAAUGGUAUAUUAUAUGAAGGAUGGGGACUUUAGUUGCAAUUUUAUAAUGGUUAUCCAUUAACUUAAAGGAUAAUUGAUCUCUUUUUUGUCAUUUUGGGGGAGAAAAACCGAAUGGAGAAGCAAAGAACAAAACCACGGAAGGAAAAGGAAGAAAAUGGAAGAGAAAAAGAAAAAGAAGGAAGGGAUAGGUUCCAAUUUUACAAGGCUAGGUUCUCAAUUUCUCAUUUUCUCCCCUUAAUUUAGAGAGGUAAGUAUAAGAAUGUGAAAUUAUCUCCUUUAGGGUCUAUGAAACUUAUCUCUAAAACUUUGAAGUUAGCAAGAAUUAGGUGUUAUUGAUGUGUAUUCAAGGUUUUAAUUAAGAAUAUAGCAAGGAAAUAUUUAUUUGAAAAUUGAAGUUGAAGAAAGUAGAAUUUUGGAAAUGGGUUGUGAGAUGAAAGAUAUAUUCUUUGAGUUUCUUGUGAUUAUAUGAUGCUAAACACUCAAAUUAAGGAUUUGAGAUUUGAAUUCUCCAUUAUUUUAAAGCAAUUUUCAAGCUAUUAUAGUACAAGUGUUAAUUCUGAAAUUCUACCCAAAAAUGUCAAUGGUUUCGAUGCCAGAUUUCAAUAUAUAGAAAUUGGUGCUAGAUUUCUAUAUUCUGGAAUUUUAGUGCUGUUUUGUCAAACCUUGGAUUUCUAGAUUUUUAAAGUUUUGAAUGAAUUUAUAUGACAAAUUUUGAAGUCUAUGUAUUGGACUAAAUAUGUACAGCUGUUGUAUAUGUAUAAAGGUAGUGAUUUUAAGGAAGUGUGAGUGGUGUAAUGAAUUUGAUAGUGUAUGGUGAUUAGUUGAUAAAUUAUUAAAGAGAAGAAAAGUUGGGGAAUUGGAGAUAUAAGAGUAAGUAUAGAAGUUGAGAUGUUAAGUGGUGGAUUUGCAUUACUAUAAUUGUUAAGUUUUAAGAAAUUAUACGUUAUUUCAGGUAGGGAUGUGAAAGUUUAGAAAGGUUCUUUAAUUUAAUCAAAUUUCUAUCCAUAGAUCUGUGAGUGGAAAAACUUAAAUAAUUUCAAGGUAUUAUAAAUUAAGUAUAUUAUUAAGUUAUGUGAAUUAUUUGCUCAAUUAUAUGAUUACCAUAAAAGUUUCUUUUACCAUGAUACAUGUGGAAUUUCAAAGAUUGUAUAUGCUAAAGUUUGUGAUUUGGAAUAUGAGAUGUAAUAUUGAGAUCGAUCAAAAAAGUACCAGUGAUUAUAUACUUCUUCUAGUUCACGGAUGACUACCAGAGGUCUUGAGACCAACUUUCGUUCACGGAGAGGGCCAAAGACCCAUGGUGAAAGUUCUUAGCCCGAGUGACGGAUUUCAGAUUAUUUAGAGGGUACAUUUUUUGCGGAUCACAUGUAAUGUGAUGAGAUCUCGGGGUUUUUUUUUUAGAUUUUAGUUAGAGAGCACAUUUUUGGCGGAUCAUAUGUGAUGUGAUGAGAUGAUAUUUACAGAGUUAUGAGAAUGUCUCUUUUUUGGUAUAAUUGUAUGAGGUUAUCGUGUGAAUUACUAAACGAUAUGAACUUGAUGUCUACAUAUGAGAAAAAUGUUUAAGUGAGAAAGUAUAAUUAUUUUCAAACUCUUCCAUUCAUUGAGUUAUAAAUUCCUAUUUUUUCCAAAUUUUUCUUACAGGUAGUAUUGUCCCUGUUAGCUUGAGGACGCUGGUGGCAUUAGAAUUAGAGCCACAUGACAUAUUGAGUUAUAUGAUUCAUUUUGGUAAAACAUGAAAUAAUUAUUUUUUUUGGGACCCAUUGCAUUAUAUUUUGCAUAAAUAUUUGAUUUUGGCGGACAUUUUGUAGUAAGUCAUAGUCAGCCUUGGUGGUGGAUCUAGCCUCUAGUCAACAUCUAUCGUCGGCACACAUCACAUUCCUAGUCCAUUAGACUGAUACGGGAUGGGUCAUGUCAAUUUACAAGAGGCAAUGAACGAAUGUUUGACAUUAUUCUUAGCUAGUGGUGAAUAGCUUAGUAUAGUGAAAAGUGUUCACUUAUAUCUCCAACUAGGUAAAA
rnacentral:lncRNA from 1 species